rnacentral:tRNA from 1 species
GUUUUAAUAAUUUAUAUAAAAUACUGGUCUUGUAAAUCAGCAAUAAGGCUUCCUUUUAAAACU